rnacentral:lncRNA from 1 species
UAAGAUUUAUAACUUCUUCUGGGUCCAAUUCCGUGGGAAAACGCCUGAAAACGCUCAUGGAUUGCCGAAAAACCAUAGAAAGGGUGAUCGUCGAUUCAACUUCAUCGAUGCUCCAACGCCUCGAACAUUGCUUGGGCUUUGUUCCUGGGCUGGUAGUGAGUCAGAUGGUGGUGGUAGGUGACGUCGGAAAGCGCUGCAACGGCGGCAUCGUCGCUGUGAGCUCGAGGAAGACGACGACUCUGUUCGUAGUGAAACUGUGAUCAAACUCGCUAGAGUUUCGGUGGAAAUGAUAUUUGGGGUGA